GUCCAGGUGACGAGUCCUAAAUAGGACGAAACGCGCGUCCUGGAU
rnacentral:hammerhead_ribozyme from 1 species